UACGUAGGGGGCAAGCGUUGUCCGGAAUCAUUGGGCGUAAAGAGCGUGUAGGCGGUUCGGUAAGUCGGCUGUGAAAGUCCCAGGGCUCAACCCGUGGGAUGCCGGUCGAGUACUGCCGGACUAGAGUUCGGAAGAGGCGAGUGGAAUUCCCGGUGUAGCGGUGAAAUGCGCAGAUAUCGGGAGGAACACCGUAUGGCGAAGGCAGCUCGCUGGGACGUUACUGACGCUGAGACGCGAAAGCGUGGGGAGCAAACAGG
rnacentral:rRNA from 1 species